ACGUAGGGUGCAAGCGUUAAUCGGAAUUACUGGGCGUAAAGCGUGCGCAGGCGGUUAUGUAAGACAGUUGUGAAAUCCCCGGGCUCAACCUGGGAACUGCAUCUGUGACUGCAUAGCUAGAGUACGGUAGAGGGGGAUGGAAUUCCGCGUGUAGCAGUGAAAUGCGUAGAUAUGCGGAGGAACACCGAUGGCGAAGGCAAUCCCCUGGACCUGUACUGACGCUCAUGCACGAAAGCGUGGGGAGCAAACAGG
rnacentral:rRNA from 1 species